CCUAGGUUAAGGUGGUAUGGUGUAGAUGUACCUAGGUAAGGUGAAUGGUAUAGUGUAGAUGUACCUAGGUUAAGGUAGUAUAGUGGUAAUGUACUAGUUAAGGUGGUAUAGUGUAGAUGUACCUGGUUAAGGUGGUAUGGUGUAUAUGUACCUAGGUUAAGGUGGUAUGGGGUAGAUGUACUAGGUUAAGGUGGUAUUGUAUAGUGUAGAUGUACCUAGGUUAAAGGUGGUAUAGUGUAGAUGUACCUAGGUUAAGGUGGUAUGAGUGUAGAUGUACCUAGUUAGGUGUAUAUGUAGAUGUACCGGUUAGGUGGUAUGGUGUAGAUGUACCUAGGUGAGGUGGUAUGGUGUAGAUGUACCUAGUUAAGGUGGAUGUAUAGUGUAGGUAUGGAAGGUGGUAUGUGUUAGAUCUACCGAGGUUAAGGUGGUAUGGGGUAGAGGUACCUAGGUUAAGGUGGUAGGGUGUAGAUGUACCUAGGUUAAGAUGGUAGGGUGUAUGAGAUGUACCUAGGUUAAGUGGAUAUGGUAUAGUGUGAGAUGUACCUAGGUUAAGUAGUAGUAUAGUGUAAUGUACCUAGGUAAGGUGGUAUAGUGUAGAUAGUUAAGGUGGUAGGGUUAGAUGUACCUAGGUUAAGGUGGUAUGGUAGAUGUAGAUGUACCUAGUUAAGGUGGUAUAGUGUAGAUCUAACCUAGGUUAAGGUGUAUGGUAGAGUGUAGAUGUACCUGGGUUAAGGUAGUGUAGUGUAGAUGUACCUAGGUUAAGGUGGUAUGGUGUAGAUGUACCUAGGUUAAGGUGGUAUUGAUAGUGUAGAUGUACCUAGGUUAGGUGGAGAGUGUGAUUCCUAGGUUAAGGUUAUAGGUUAAUGUACCUAGGUUAAGGUGGUAGGUGUAGAUGUACCUAGGUUAAGGUGUAUGGUUGUAGUGUAGAUGUACCUAGGUUAAGGUGGUAUAGUGUAGAUGUACCUAGGUUAAGGUGGUAUGGUG
rnacentral:lncRNA from 1 species